CAGGUUUACCUGUGUGACUGCGUACCUUUUGUAUAAUGGGUCAGCGACUUAUAUUCUGUAGCAAGGUUAACCGAAUAGGGGAGCCGGAGGGAAACCGAGUCUUAAUUGGGCGUUAAGUUGCAGGGUAUAGACCCGAAACCCGGUGAUCUAGCCAUGGGCAGGUUGAAGGUUGGGUAACACUAACUGGAGGACCGAACCGACUAAUGUUGAAAAAUUAGCGGAUGACCUGUGGCUGGGGGUGAAAGGCCAAUCAAACCGGGAGAUAGCUGGUUCUCCCCGAAAGCUAUUUAGGUAGCGCCUCGUGAAUUCAUCUCCGGGGGUAGAGCACUGUUUCGGCUAGGGGGCCAUCCCGGCUUACCAACCCGAUGCAAACUGCGAAUACCGGAGAAUGUUAUCACGGGAGACACACGGCGGGUGCUAACGUCCGUCGUGAAGAGGGAAACAACCCAGACCGCCAGCUAAGGUCCCAAAGUCAUGGUUAAGUGGGAAACGAUGUGGGAAGGCCCAGACAGCCAGGAUGUUGGCUUAGAAGCAGCCAUCAUUUAAAGAAAGCGUAAUAGCUCACUGGUCGAGUCGGCCUGCGCGGAAGAUGUAACGGGGCUAAACCAUGCACCGAAGCUGCGGCAGCGACAC
rnacentral:rRNA from 1 species